CCGUCGGUAGCUCAGUUGGUAGAGCGGUGGACUGUAGAUCCAUAGGUCGCUGGUUCGAAUCCGGCUCGACGGA
rnacentral:tRNA from 1 species